UGAGUAGCUGGAAUUACGGCUUCAGAUCCAAAUGGUAUGCUAGCAUUCUCUUCCUAGCAGUCCACUGUCAAGACUUCACUGUUAGAAGAAGAAUCACACCAGAAUUAAGGUCAAAUGGAUUAUCUUAUUCUUAAUUGCUGAAAAUCACACCUCAUUGAAAUUUGCUUCAUAACUGAACCAUGAAUUUUUCAUCAAACAUACUUUUGUGUUUCUCCUCCUGGCAUUCUUUAUGAGGAACUUCUUUUUGGAGCUCACUGACUUCCUGUUCUAAUUUGGUCCAGUUAUUUUCUAGAAUUGCUACAUGACUGUCAUCCUGGGACAUCCUUCUGUUGGAAUCUGGGAGAGCUUACAACUUUUCAUAUCCUCUCUUCUUCUUUGUGUUUUUCACCCUGAAGUGUACAAAGUCAAAUGAAUUUCCUAGAAAAACUAACUUGAGAAGGCACAGACACAAGUGGCGGGACGUCAAGAGAGCUGAAGAACACAGCAACAGACACCAGCAGACAACAUCAGGCCAUCGAUGGCUGCAUGAUGUGGAAUUUGGCUGGGGGCAGUUGGAGGAGAGUCUGGCUAUUGGGCGACCUGACUCCAGGGGAAGACUACCUUCCCACUCCAUCCCCCUUGGGGCUCCUCAUGCAUCUCACGAGAGCUACCUCCACCACUCAAUAAAACCUUGCACGCAUCCUCCAAGCCCACGUGUGAUCCGACUUCUUGGGUACACUAGGGCAAGAACCCGGGAUACAGAAAGCCCUCUGUCCGUGUGAUAAGGCACAGGGUCUAGUGGAGCUGAUUAACACAAGCCACCUGCAGAAGGCAAAGCUGAAAGAGCACACCACAACACAUGCCCACUGGGGCUUCGGGAGCUGCAAACACUCAACCCUAGACACUGUCGUGGGGUCAGAGCCCCAAAACACUCCCCACGACCUGCUCAUCUGCAUGCUCCCCUCAGGAGUUUGAGCAGCAGGUCACCGAAGAAGCGAGCCACACCCGUUGCAUGCCGUGUGAGGGGGAUAAGGGAACUUCUCCCAUUUCAUCUGAAUAUCUGAAAGUAUCUGUAGUUGGGACUCACGUUUUAUUUAUAAUUUGUCUCGAUAUAGAAGUAAAGGUAUAAUUUCCUAUAGAAAUUUGAAACAUUGUUCCCUUGUCACAUCUUGCUGAUAAAAAACCUUAUGUCAGAUGAUUUUUGGUCUGAUAAUAUAGAAAUUUUGAUUAACUUACUAAAUAAUUAUAUUUCAAUAUGAUUCAUUUGGUAAUAAUUUUAUUUUAUUUUUAUUCUGUCAUGUCUAUUUAAGUUGUAUAAUACUUUCAGAUAUAGAAUUUGACAAAGUUCCUAUGGCAAAUAUGAAGCUGCAUAAAAUCUGCUUCCUGACCCAGAGAACUUGG
rnacentral:lncRNA from 10 species